UUGCUGUGAUGUUUUAAAAUCAACACAUUAUUCUUACUGUAAAGUGAAGAAACAUUAAAAAAAAUCACUGAGCAAA